rnacentral:misc_RNA from 1 species
AACGCACCUUGCGCCCUUUGGUAUUCCGAAGGGCAUGCCUGUUUGAGUGUCAUUAAAUUAUCAACCUUGCUUUGCUUUUACUAGCAUUGCUCGGCUUGGAUGUGGGGUUUUUUUUGCUGGCUUCCUUCAGUGGAUGGUCUGCUCCCCUUAAAUGCAUUAGUGGGAUCUCUUGUGGACCGUCACUUGGUGUGAUAAUUAUCUAUGCCAUGCGACUUUGAAGCAAACUUUAUGGGAACCUGCUUAUAACCGUCCCUCACAAGGACAACUUAUUGACAUUUUGACCUCAAAUCAGGUAGGACUACCCGCUGAACUUAA